GCCUGGGUGGCUCAGUUGGUUGAGUGUCCGACUUCAGCUCGGGUCAUGAUCUCACAGUCUGUGAGUUCGAGCCUCGCGUCGGGCC
rnacentral:tRNA from 1 species